UACGGAGGAUGCGAGCGUUAUCCGGAUUUACUGGGUGUAAAGGGAGCGUAGGCGGCGGGGCAAGUCUGAUGUGAAAACCCGGGGCUCAACCCCGGGACUGCAUUGGAAACUGUCCUGCUAGAGUGUCGGAGGGGUAAGUGGAAUUCCUAGUGUAGCGGUGAAAUGCGUAGAUAUUGGGAGGAACACCAGUGGCGAAGGCGGCUUACUGGACGGUCACUGACGUUGAGGCUCGAAAGCGUGGGGAGCAAACAGG
rnacentral:rRNA from 1 species